GCCAGGUGUGGUGGUGUGCGCCUGUAAUCCUAGCUACUCAGGAGGCUGAGGCAGGAGAAUCACUUGAACCCAGGAGGUGGAGGUUGCAGUGAGUCGAGAUCAUGCCAUUGCACUCCAGCCUGGGUGACAGAGUGAGACUCUGUCUCAA
rnacentral:SRP_RNA from 1 species